UUCUUGCCAAAGCAGAAAGAUAAAUGAGACUGGGGAACAAAAACUCCAAUUGAGCCUAUUACAGUGAAUGAUUCUGAGAACUAUGAAUGAAUGUAACUUUCAGUUGAUUUCUGCCUCAUUGGAAAGAGUUCUAGGAAUGGGCUUGCCAUCAUAGUGGAAGAGUUUAAGGAAUAGUCAUGGAAAACAUUUACAUCAUACAUGUAAAACUGUAAAUAGGGGUUGGCUGGUAAAUGUUUAAGAACUGGUUCUCCUAUAUGACAUGCUUUUAAGCUUAAUCUGUAUUAUUAACAUUUUUCUAUUUCUUAAGUUUAGGAAAUCAACAAAAUAAUCAAUCAAGCUCUGGUUUAUGUCUUUACUGAUUUCCAAGAGGACACUGGCAGGGAAGAGAAAGACUGGCCAUGCUUGAUGGCCCCAAGAGUGGCUUCGACAUGUGCUGCUCAUCAAGUAAAAAGAGAAGUGGCUAAUGGACAUCGAAGGGAGGGGACUGGAAAAAUUAAAGCCUCAUCAGAUGGAAGACAACCUAUUUGGUAUAGGCUGCAAUUAUGGUUUUGUAAAGAAAAGAAAAGAAAAUAAACUGAGGCACUAAUAUGCUUUUUCUUUUAAAUGCAUUUUUAGGAAGGGUGUUUUUGAAGCUUUCCUUGGAAAUUCAGUUCAGAGAAGGCUUAAAUUGAGAGUGGAGAGGGAAUUGAUUAUACGGAAGCCAAUAUCCAUUUGGCGAGGUUUACUGGUUUAGAUGGGCCUGAAGUCAAUUGGUCUUCGAUCCUGAACAGCCUUGCAAUGUCUCUCUCUGCCAUGGGUCACCAGAGUAUCAGCAAAAGUUCUCUUUGGACUUCUGAGUAGAUUACAAGAAUCAUAUCCAUGGGAAAGGAUGCAUGAAAUGUAAAUGCAAACCAAAUGCCGUCAAGAUGGAGACUCCCUCCACCAAAUAACUGCAGGCACUGGGUGCUCCAAUCCCUCUGAGCAAGGAAGGCAGGAGGAGGCCUGUGAACAUGUUGAAACAAACAGCCAGCAGCAGAGAUUGCAUCCAAGCCCCUCACUUGGUGAGUUCACCAGCCCAGCCAGGGCAAGGUGAGCCUGGAUGGCAACCAAAUUUCUGCCCUCAUGAAGGAGGAGGAGGUGGAGGAGGAAAAGGUGGUAGAGGUGCUGGGGCUGAUUCUAUCUGGACAUUAUACUCCACCUCUGCCUAAGGAGAAGAAAACAUUUCCCAAUUCUAAGGUGAACUGGACAAACUGAAGAUAGAGUCAAGUAUCAAAGGAGGAAUUUUUACUCUGUGAAAAAACAUGGAAAAUCAAACACUUUAUUAUUUGGGUUUCUUAAUAGAGAUUUAUUCUUUAGUUAAGAGGAGGGAUCCAUAUGUAGGAUCAUAGCAUCACAGAAUUGGAAGGGACCUCAAGGAG